rnacentral:rRNA from 1 species
UACGAAGGGGGCUAGCGUUGCUCGGAAUUACUGGGCGUAAAGCGCACGUAGGCGGAUUGCUAAGUCAGGGGUGAAAUCCUGGAGCUCAACUCCAGAACUGCCUUUGAUACUGGCAACCUUGAGUCCGGGAGAGGUGAGUGGAACUGCGAGUGUAGAGGUGAAAUUCGUAGAUAUUCGCAAGAACACCAGUGGCGAAGGCGGCUCACUGGCCCGAUACUGACGCUGAUGCACGAAAGCGUGGGGAGCAAACAGG